UAAGGCUGAGACACGACGUCGAGCACCUACGGGUGUGAAGUCAUUGAUGCCAUGCUUCCAGGAAAAGCCUCUAAGCUUCAGAUUGUAAGGAAUCGUACCCCAAACCGACACAGGUGGUCGGGUAGAGAAUACCAAGGCGCUUGAGAGAACUCGGGUGAAGGAACUAGGCAAAAUGGUACCGUAACUUCGGGAGAAGGUACGCUCUUGAUGGUGAAGUCCCUUGCGGAUGGAGCUGACGAGAGUCGCAGAUACCAGGUGGCUGCAACUGUUUAUUAAAAACACAGCACUGUGCAAAAUCGUAAGAUGACGUAUACGGUGUGACGCCUGCCCGGUGCCGGAAGGUUAAUUGAUGGGGUUAGACUUCGGUCGAAGCUCUUGAUCGAAGCCCCGGUAAACGGCGGCCGUAACUAUAACGGUCCUAAGGUAGCGAAAUUCCUUGUCGGGUAAGUUCCGACCUGCACGAAUGGCGUAAUGAUGGCCACGCUGUCUCCACCCGAGACUCAGUGAAAUUGAAAUCGCUGUGAAGAUGCAGUGUACCCGCGGCUAGACGGAAAGACCCCGUGAACCUUUACUACAGCUUGGCACUGAACAUUGACCCUACAUGUGUAGGAUAGGUGGGAGGCUUUGAAGCACGUACGCCAGUAUGUGUGGAGCCGUCCUUGAAAUACCACCCUUGUAGUGUUGAUGUUCUAACGUCGACCCCUUAUCGGGGUUGCGGACAGUGCCUGGUGGGUAGUUUGACUGGGGCGGUCUCCUCCCAAAGAGUAACGGAGGAGCACGAAGGUGGGCUAAUCACGGUUGGACAUCGUGAGGUUAGUGCAAUGGCAUAAGCCCGCUUGACUGCGAGAAUGACAAUUCGAGCAGGUGCGAAAGCAGGUCAUAGUGAUCCGGUGGUUCUGAAUGGAAGGGCCAUCGCUCAACGGAUAAAAGGUACUCCGGGGAUAACAGGCUGAUACCGCCCAAGAGUUCAUAUCGACGGCGGUGUUUGGCACCUCGAUGUCGGCUCAUCACAUCCUGGGGCUGAAGUCGGUCCCAAGGGUAUGGCUGUUCGCCAUUUAAAGUGGUACGCGAGCUGGGUUUAGAACGUCGUGAGACAGUUCGGUCCCUAUCUGCCGUGGGCGUUGGAAGAUUGAAGGGGGCUGCUCCUAGUACGAGAGGACCGGAGUGGACGAACCUCUGGUGUUCGGGUUGUGUCGCCAGACGCAUUGCCCGGUAGCUAAGUUCGGAAUCGAUAACCGCUGAAAGCAUCUAAGCGGGAAGCGAGCCCUGAGAUGAGUCUUCCCUGAUACUUUAAGUAUCCUAAAGGGUUGUCGGAGACUACGACGUUGAUAGGUCAGGUGUGUAAGUGCUGUGAGGCAUUGAGCUAACUGAUACUAAUUGCCCGUGAGGCUUAACCAUACAACACCCAAGGGGUUU
rnacentral:rRNA from 1 species